rnacentral:rRNA from 1 species
UGUGGCAUACGGCUCAGUAACACGUAGUCAACAUGCCCAGGGGACGUGGAUAACCUCGGGAAACUGAGGAUAAACCACGAUAGGUCAUCACUUCUGGAAUGGGUAAUGACUUAAAUCUAUAUGGCCCCUGGAUUGGACUGCGGCCGAUCAGGCUGUUGGUGAGGUAAUGGCCCACCAAACCUGUAACCGGUACGGGCUCUGAGAGGAGGAGCCCGGAGAUGGGCACUGAGACAAGGGCCCAGGCCCUAUGGGGCGCAGCAGGCGCGAAACCUCUGCAAUAGGCGAAAGCUUGACAGGGUUACUCUGAGUGAUUUCCGUUAAGGAGAUCUUUUGGCACCUCUAAAAAUGGUGCAGAAUAAGGGGUGGGCAAGUCUGGUGUCAGCCGCCGCGGUAAUACCAGCACCCCGAGUGGUCGGGACGUUUAUUGGGCCUAAAGCAUCCGUAGCCGGUUCUACAAGUCUUCCGUUAAAUCCACCUGCUUAACAGAUGGGCUGCGGAAGAUACUAUAGAGCUAGGAGGCGGGAGAGGCAAGCGGUACUCGAUGGGUAGGGGUAAAAUCCGUUGAUCCAUUGAAGACCACCAGUGGCGAAGGCGGCUUGCCAGAACGCGCUCGACGGUGAGGGAUGAAAGCUGGGGGAGCAAACCGGAUUAGAUACCCGGGUAGUCCCAGCUGUAAACGAUGCAGACUCGGUGAUGAGUUGGCUUAUUGCUAACUCAGUGCCGCAGGGAAGCCGUUAAGUUUGCCGCCUGGGGAGUACGGUCGCAAGACUGAAACUUAAAGGAAUUGGCGGGGGAGCACCACAAGGGGUGAAGCCUGCGGUUCAAUUGGAUUCAACGCCGGG